rnacentral:rRNA from 1 species
GGCAAGCGUUGUUCGGAAUCAUUGGGCGUAAAGGGCGCGUAGGUGGUUCUGUAUGUCUACCGUGAAAGCGUACGGCUCAACCGUAUUUUGUCGGUGGAAACUGCAGGACUUGAGGCUGGGAGGGGCUGGUGGAAUUCCCUGUGUAGCGGUGAAAUGCGUAGAGAUGGGGGAGAACACUCGUGGCGAAGGCGGCCAGCUAGACCAGUUCUGACGCUGAGGAGCGAAAGCCAGGGGAGCAAACGGG